GCCUGACUGGCUACCCUCUUGCCAAGAGAUUUUCUCUGGCAAAUCCUUCUGUGCUCCUUCCCUCCAAGCCAAUGCCCCUCAUCCCAAGGAGCUCUUCCAAGCCAAUGAAGAGCUGCAUCGGAGAGCAUGUUACUGGGAAAAGUGGCACUGGCAAUGACGAUGACACCAGAAAAGAACAAGAGUCACGUUCAGAAGAAAAAGGACAUAAGGCUUCCUUGCUGUAUCCCACUGCAGGGGAUAAGAAGAAGGGGUCACUGGGAUUGUCUUUGAUCCCCCAGUUACGCAGGACAUUAAGCAGUGCUGCAGGAUCUCGGAAAAGCUCUCUGCAGCUGGAUGUGCAAGAGUCCCAGGAGAUGAGGUCCACACCCAGCAGCAGAAGUGAAGAUGAUGACUCUGAAGAAGGAGGAAAGCAAGCAGGGAAUAAACCCCAGGGGCAGGGAAUCUGAGCAAAUUGCAAUGUUGGAAAAUCAAUUUGUUUGCACCACAUUUGGGCUCCUUGAACACUGAGGACAUGUGAAGGGGAGUACAAAU
rnacentral:lncRNA from 1 species